rnacentral:rRNA from 1 species
UAGGGAAUCUUCGGCAAUGGGGGGAACCCUGACCGAGCAACGCCGCGUGAGUGAAGAAGGUUUUCGGAUCGUAAAGCUCUGUUGUUAAGGAAGAACGAGUGUGAGAAUGGAAAGUUCAUGCUGUGACGGUACUUAACCAGAAAGGGACGGCUAACUACGUGCCAGCAGCCGCGGUAAUACGUAGGUCCCGAGCGUUGUCCGGAUUUAUUGGGCGUAAAGCGAGCGCAGGCGGUUAGAUAAGUCUGAAGUUAAAGGCAGUGGCUCAACCAUUGUAGGAGUUGGAAACUGUGUAACUGGAGUGAAGAAGGGGAGAGUGGAAUUCCAUGUGUAGCGGUGAAAUGCGUAGAUAUAUGGAGGAACACCGGUGGCGAAAGCGGCUCUCUGGUCUGUAACUGACGCUGAGGCUCGAAAGCGUGGGGAGCGAACAGG